UUAAAAAGUUCUUAACUUCCUGUUUCAUUGACCAAUCAGAUUGCUCAAAAAUGAAAUAUAAAAUUUGAUUGGUCAAUGAAAAGGAAGUUAGGAACUUUUUAA
rnacentral:miRNA from 1 species